rnacentral:rRNA from 1 species
GUUUGAUCCUGGCUCAGAUUGAACGCUGGCGGCAUGCCUUACACAUGCAAGUCGAACGGCAGCGGGCCUUCGGGUGCCGGCGAGUGGCGAACGGGUGAGUAAUGCAUCGGAACGUGCCAUUGAGUGGGGGAUAACGUAGCGAAAGUUACGCUAAUACCGCAUAUUCUGUGAGCAGGAAAGCAGGGGACCGCAAGGCCUUGCGCUCUUUGAGCGGCCGAUGUCAGAUUAGCUAGUUGGUGAGGUAAAGGCUUACCAAGGCGACGAUCUGUAGCGGGGUCUGAGAGGAUGAUCCGCCACACUGGAACUGAGACACGGUCCAGACUCCUACGGGAGGCAGCAGUGGGGAAUUUUGGACAAUGGGCGCAAGCCUGAUCCAGCCAUGCCGCGUGAGUGAAGAAGGCCUUCGGGUUGUAAAGCUCUUUCGGCCGGGAAGAAAUCGCAUGGGUUAAUACCCUGUGUGGAUGACGGUACCGGAAUAAGAAGCACCGGCUAACUACGUG